AGAUUUUCAACCAAUGCAAUGUUACCGCAUCACAGUAUAUCAAAUACACAAACAGCAGCGUACUAUUGGAAUGGCAUACUAUUUGAAACGUGAGUUACUAUUAUAUUACUAUCUACUAUUUUUUUUUUUUUUUGUAUUUGACUCAUAAAAUGUGGUGCCUGAAUUAUUCUGGCCCUCUGGCCAUUGGUGCUGGCAUCAGGAUGAACAGUGAUCGGUCUACCCCCAUUAUUGUUUUUAAAGUACCCCACCUGGUGCCCACCAUUUUUUUUACAGGCCUCAUCUAUAGCUGCCUAGUUUUGUUAGCUUCUUUUUUAUCAUUUAGUUCACAUUUCCAACCUGCCAUAUGGCAAGUGGGGGAUGCAGAUGUUUUAAACAUUCCUUACAGUAAUAUGGGAGUCUUCUGCUUGUCUUUGUGUAUUCACAAAAAUCUUACCAUUUUCUGCUGUACCAUUUACCAUUCAAUAUGGAACCUCUCAUAGCAAUGUGGGCUGUCCUUAAAAGCCUAGACCUCAUGCUUGCAGUGAAUUCAUCUGCAUCAGCCCCUACUAGUAAUCUUUGUCUAACACUGCUAUACAACACAUAAUACGGAUUUUGAUUUUAGCUUCAUUUAUGGAGUGCCAUUGUGUAUGUGUGUAUGUGAGUUUUGUAUAGAAAAAAUGUUAGUAAUGCGUGUUUAACCCCUUAGUGACCAGACCGUUUUUCAAUUUUCUUACCGUUAAGGACCAGGGCUCUUUUUAAAUUUCUGCAGUGUUUGUGUUUAGCUGUAAUUUUCCUCAUACUCAUUUACUGUACCCAUACUGUUUUUCUUGCCAUUAAAUGGUCUUUCUAAAGAUACCAUUAGUUUCAUCAUAUCAUACAAUUUACUAUAAACAUUUUUAUAAAAUAUGAUGAAAAAAUGGGAAAAAAACACUUUUUCUAACUUUGACCCCCAAAAUCUGUUACGCAUCUACAACUGCCAAAAAACACCUGUGCUAAAUAGUUUCUACAUUUUUGUCCUUAGAAAUACUCAAUGUCAACAUGUUCUUUGGUUUUUUUUGUUUUGUUUUUUGCAAGUAACAGGGCUAUAAGUACAAGUACUGUAAAAAAAACCUCAAGAAAACCUGGAAUCAAUUUUGGAGGAGACUUCAUACUCCUCCUGUCCAGAAACAACCAAUGGAGGAAGGGGCACACUUGGGACAGUAUACUUAUUGCAAAUAUGUGGUUUAAGUAAAGAAAUAAGAAAUGUAUGAGGAAGACGUAAGGAGGCAGGAAGUACCAGAGAAUAUGAAACAGAGUUAAUUCUCCAAAUGAUACAAAAUGGACCAAGGAAUCUGGGGGCAAAUUUCAUGCUAGGAACUUUUAGUUUGAUGUUGCACAAUGAUAACCACACCCUCUCACCCACCUGGUAAACAGGUUUGGCACCCCGCUGUUUAUCAGCAUGAAACUUAAAACGAGCAGCCGCAGACUCGAGAGCGGAGUGAACUUUGGUCCGAAUCUCACAAAUAGAAGCGAGGUGAUCAUCCAGAGCAGGGAUAGCUGUGUCAGAAAAAACAGUUGGUAGGACAGUAGGAUGAUGACCGUUAUUGAAAAAGAAUGGACUAUGUCCGGAAGAGUUAUGGGUAACAUUGUUCCUGGCAAACUCGGCCCAGGGCAAUAAUUCAGACCAGUCAUUUUGUGUGCUAUUCACAAAACAAUGUAAAUACAAUUCCAUUGAUUGGUUAGCCCUGUCAGUCGUGCCAUUGGUUUGGGGAUGGUAGGAGGAAGAAAAUUACAAUUCAAUACCCAAGUGUUUAUUGAAAGCCCUCCAAAAAUGAGAUACAAACUGGGAACCUCUGUCAGACACAAUAUUUUGAGGAAUACCAUGACAAUGUCUGACAAUGUCUUGUAUAAAGAUAAGAACCGGGUCUUGAGAGGAAGGCAAGUUUUUGAGAGAUAAACAAAAUGAGCCAUCAUGGAAAAGCGGUCAACCACCAUAAGGAUUGUGGUAUAACAAUUAGAACUAAUUAACAAAUUUAAACUUCUUUAGUUUAGAAAAACAACGCCUGAGAGGGGAUAUGAUAACAUUAUACAAAUAUAUUCGGGGCCAAUACAAACCAUUAUGUGGAAAUCUAGUCAGAAACCGGACUUUACAUAGGAUACAAGGUCAUGCGUUUAGACUGGAAGAAAGAAGAUUUAAUCUAAGGCAAAGAAAAGUUAUUUUUUACUGUAAGAACAAUAAGGAUGUGGAAUUCUGGUUUUAUCAGAGUCCAUACAGAUGUUCAAACAAAAACAGAAUAUUCAAGGAUAUAGUUUUUCAAUGUAGGGUAAUAGCUGCUUGAUCCAAGGAUUAAUCUGACUGCCAUUCUGGGGUCAAGAAGGAUUUUUCCUAGUUUGUUGCAAGUGCUUCAAACUGUUUUUUUUUUUUGCCUUCUUUUGGAACAACAGCAAAAAACAAAUGUGAGGGUGGCUGAACUUGAUGGACGCAAGUCUCUUUUCAGCUAUGUAACUAUUUAACUAGGAAGUUCCACGAUGAAAUUCAUGGAUAAAUGAGACCAUGGAACACUAGGUACAGGAAGUGGAUGUAAUAAUCUACAAGGAAGUUUAUGAGGAACCUUAGAAACUACACAUACUGAACAGGCUUCACAUAUUUCUUGACAUCUUUCCUGAGUGAAUCCCACCAAAAUGAUCUCAGGAUAGCGGAUGUGGACUUAUUAAUAAAUAAAAUAGAAAGGUGAACAGCGCUAAAAAUCAGAAAGUGUACAUACGUUUUGUAGAAAUACUGGCCAGCAGAGUAACUUAAAAAAAGAGAGAAACAAAAAUACAAAUAAUGGUACAGUAUGUAUGAACGAUAUAAUUCCACAAGAACAAAGGUGUUAUAUUCACACUCACACUUUGAGGAGCUAUAUCAGCUCGGUGUUAAGAGCCUGGACGGAAUAAUCCCCGUCUAUGGAUUUCUUGAGGUUCAAGACCGUUGGUGAAUUUAUAGGUGUAAAUAUUCGUUACAUAUACUAGAGCAACGACCUGCUCUAGUUUGGAGAAUUUCAGGUGGAAUAAUCCCCACCUUGGGAUAUAGUGGACCCAGGUAUAGCAGCAAAGCAGUAUUGGAUAGGAAGGAGGACAAAAAGAAAUGACUGGAUAGUUAAAAAAUAUAUAUACUUUAAUACAAUAAGUGAAAAGUGAAUAAUAAACUAUAAAACCAGUCUUGUAUAAAAGUCCAAAAUUCUUCCUCACUUGACGCGUUUCGCCGAAGCUUUCUCAAAAGUGAAUGCUUGCUGCUUGGGGUCCUUGAGAUUAUAUACCUUCUCUGAUGAUGAAAAUCGAUUCUGCUGUGCAUAUUUCCUCAUUUCCUGUUUUCAGCAAGAUAGCAUAGACAGGAAGUUCUCCGGACACCAUCUUGGAUGUGGGCAAUUUGUGGGAAAGUUCAAAAAUAGGAAUCAUAGGUAUACAAUAACAUAAUAACAUAUUAAAUCAGAUAAAAACGUGAAUAAUUACAGAUGUGGGCACACAUAGAGUAUAUGAUAGUGGAAAUCGAUUCUACUAUGUGUAUUUCCUCAUUUCCUGUUUUCAGCAAGAUAGCAUAGACAGGAAGUUCUCCGGACGCCAUCUUGGAUAUGGGCAAUUUGUGGAAAGUUCAAAAAUAGAGAUCAAAAGUAUACAAUAACAUAAUAACAUAUUGAAUCAGCUAAUAACUUGAAUAAUUACAGAAAUGGAUACACAUAGAGCAUAUAAGUGACAUAAAAGAUAUAAUUAAUUACUUGAUAGUGUCAUAAACUAAACUGUUCCGGCCGCCAUUUUAGAUAUGGGCUAGUGAUAGAAAUUGAGCUCAAAGAAUGCCAUAUCGAAAAAGGACAUACUUUAAAUGGAAAGGGGACAUGUAUAUACAGCUAGGGGAAAUAUAAAUAGUAUAAAAACACAGUAGUAUCUGCAUAAAAGGGUGUAAAAGAAUUUAUAAACACCCAUUGAAAAUGGGUUAUAGAACGAGUGAUAAAAAAUAAAUUUUACAAAAUGAAUUAUAAGAAAUGAACCAAAUCGAAUUCUAUAUUAAGUCCAUUUGGGUGGAGGGUAUCUAAACGAUAGACCCACUCCAUUUCUAACUUGACUAUGUUUAUUUUGGUGUCGCCCCCUCUCCAAUGUGGUUUAUAUUUAGCAAUACCCAAAAAUUUUAAUAGGCUGGGGUCUUUGUUGUGCUGUAAAAAGUGCGCAGAUACAGAGUGAUUUUUGUAGCCUUUUUCAAUAUUACGGCAGUGUUCACUAAUUCUUACUUUCAAUGGUCUUAUUGUUCUGCUGACGUAUUGUAGUCCACAUGGACACUCUAACAUGUAGAUUACGUUAUUGCUAUUACACGUUAAAAUUUCAUUAAUGUUAAAGAGCUUUUUGUUUCUGUUAGACUUAAACUCUGAUGUGCAUUUUUCCAUUUUGUGUGUUUUUCUACAUGAUAUGCACGUGUUACAUCUAAAAAAAACCUUUAUUGAUAGUUAAAAAAUUGUUUUUUUGUAUGUUUUGAUUUCUAGUGAAAUUAUUUGUAAGUUGUAGUUUUAGAUUAGGUGCACCUCUAUAUAUUAUAGUGGGUUUAUCUGGUAGGGCUUCACUUAGUAUUGGAUCCUCUUUAAGUAAAUGCCAAUUUUUGUUAAUCUUUUUGAUAUGUUUGUUUUUAUUAUUAUAGUCGAAUAUCAAAGGAAGGGUGAAUUUUUUUUUUGCAUGUGGACUUAUUAAUGCCUGGAUGCACAGCAGUCACAUUGUUGUGGAAUACCCUCAUUACCUUCUCUCUUUCAAUCAACGGAACAAACAAUUUAUCUGGAGGUUUAUUGCUGGGAUUGAACCUCUAUGAUAGCACCAAGCAGAGGUGAUAAGGAAAGAAGAGUGGAAACAAUGACACACUCAGGUGGAACAUUAGGGGAUGUCUCUUGUUCUGAUUCAAUGUCAAACUUAUAAGUUAUAAGAAAGUUAAAGCGAGAUAAGAACAAAGGACACAUUUUUGUGGUCAGUUAUGAUCAAAAGGGGGUCCUUGGAACCCUCUAAAAGAUGUCACCAUUCUUUAAGCGCGAGUAUUAUGGCCAACAAUUCUCUGUUACCAAUAUCAUAAUUACGCUCUGCUAGAGACAACUUUCUAGAGAAGAACGCACACAGAUGCAAAGGGGUAUCCUGACUUUCUCUCUGUUUUUGAAGGCAUCAACAUCCAGUAUGAAGGUUUUGCUAGUGUCAUGAUGUACCAAAAUGUCAGCUGAAGCAAAACAUUUUUAAGAAGUUCAAAAACUUCUCUAGCUUCCAUAGACUAUAUCGUACAACUAACUCCCUUCCAUGUCAUAUUGGUGGUGGGGGCUAUCACAGAAGGGAAUCCUUUGAUAAAUCUCCUGUAAUAAUUAGCAAAACCAAUUAACAUUUGAAUGGCUUUUAGCCCAUUAGGCAAUGGCCAACGUAGAACUGCCUCAAGUUUAUGAGGAUCCAUUUGAAAACCAGAGGCAGAAAUAUUAUACCCCCAAAAAACUGUACCUCAGUUUGGUCAAAGAUGCAUUUUUUCAAGUUUGCAAUGAAGUCUAUUCUUAAGCAAGGUUUGCAGCACUUGUUUGACAUGUUUGUGGUGAGUCUGAAGGUCAGGGGAAUAAAUAAGGAUAUCAUCCAGGUAUACUAUAACAAAUUAAUAAAUAUAGUUUCUGAGCACAUAAUUAAUAAAGUCCUGAAAUAUGACUGGAGCAUUGCAUAACCCGAAGGGCAUGACAAGGUACUCACAGUGCACACUUCUAGUGUUAAAUGCUGUUUUCCACUCACAAUCUUCCUUAAUUCUUACCAAAUUGUACACACUCCUGAGGUCAAGUUUAGUAAAUACUUUAGCACCCUGGAGUCUGUCAAACAAUUCGGAGAUAGGCAUUUUGUUAUGGUGAUCUUGUUCAAUGCCCUGUAAUCCAAGCAUGGGCGUAACUUUCCAUUUUUUUUUUAGAUACAAAAAAUAACCCUGCACCAGCAGGCGAGGAUGAUUUAUGUAUGUGGCCCUUACUUAGGGAAUCUUUGAUGUACUCAUCCAUGAUUCUACUCUCCUGUGGAGAUAAGGCAUACACUGUCAGAAAAUACAGUGUUUACAAGAGAAAGACUGCAGGGAGCUAUAGUUCUCACCUGAACAACCUCAUAAAGCUGAAGUUGUUGACUAUAGUGUCCGUUUAAAACUAGAUUUAAAUGUAUCUAUAGAAGUGAUAGUUACUGUAAAAGUAUGUGUAAGAAGUAGCUAUGUAGAUCAGUAGCACAGCCUUAUUGUGUUACUGAUCUAAAUAGCUACCUUUUCAUAUUGCAACAUUGUUAUAGUUUUUGCUAUAACUUUUGGCUACACGUACUCUUACCGCAGCUCUCUAGAACUUUUAUGUAAGAUACUGAUUUUUAUAUCCAGUUUUAAAUGAGUGAGUGCUGUUUAGGCGACAUGCCCCUACUACAUGGGGGGACCUGGCACAAGUAGGGGCAUGCGGGAGGAUUUAACCUGCGCUAGGUCCCCCCUUAUUGAAUGAGGAGGUAGGAAUGGUUUCUAUUACAAGGAGGGAGCUGGUAGCACUGCCGGCUCCCUUCUUGCUUUUUUUGUGUGCAUGCGCAGCGCUAUUUUUGUCUUAAUGGAUGAAAACAAAUUAUUUUUAAAAAAAUUUCAUUUGAAAACGAAUUGUUUACGGACAAAAUUCGGGAUUGACAAAUUUAAUUUUUAUUUAGUACGAAAUCAUUCAUACAAAAUGAAAAUUUCACAGGUGCACAUGUAUAGUGGCCGCCCAUUUUACUCAGAUGUAUUCUAUUGAGUAAUUAUGCUCAGAUAUAUAGAGCACUUUACUUGUUAUCAUUAUGCUCAGUGACCAAGGCUUCACACUGAAACAUUUCCGCUUUAUCUGUUGGGAUCUGUAGUAUCUCCCUCUUCUCUUAACUGUAUAUACAGGGAGUGCAGAAUUAUUAGGCAAGUUGUAUUUUUGAGGAUUAAUUUUAUUAUUGAACAACAACCAUGUUCUCAAUGAACCCAAAAAACUCAUUAAUAUCAAAGCUGAAUAUUUUUGGAAGUAGUUUUUAGUUUGUUUUUAGUUAUAGCUAUGUUAGGGGGAUAUCUGUGUGUGCAGGUGACUAUUACUGUGCAUAAUUAUUAGGCAACUUAACAAAAAACAAAUAUAUACCCAUUUCAAUUAUUUAUUAUUACCAGUGAAACCAAUAUAACAUCUCAACAUUCACAAAUAUACAUUUCUGACAUUCAAAAACAAAACAAAAACAAAUCAGUGACCAAUAUAGCCACCUUUCUUUGCAAGGACACUCAAAAGCCUGCCAUCCAUGGAUUCUGUCAGUGUUUUGAUCUGUUCACCAUCAACAUUGCGUGCAGCAGCAACCACAGCCUCCCAGACACUGUUCAGAGAGGUGUACUGUUUUCCCUCCUUGUAAAUCUCACAUUUGAUGAUGGACCACAGGUUCUCAAUGGGGUUCAGAUCAGGUGAACAAGGAGGCCAUGUCAUUAGAUUUUCUUCUUUUAUACCCUUUCUUGCCAGCCACGCUGUGGAGUACUUGGACGCGUGUGAUGGAGCAUUGUCCUGCAUGAAAAUCAUGUUUUUCUUGAAGGAUGCAGACUUCUUCCUGUACCACUGCUUGAAGAAGGUGUCUUCCAGGAACUGGCAGUAGGACUGGGAGUUGAGCUUGACUCCAUCCUCAACCCGAAAAGGCCCCACAAGCUCAUCUUUGAUGAUACCAGCCCAAACCAGUACUCCACCUCCACCUUGCUGGCGUCUGAGUCGGACUGGAGCUCUCUGCCCUUUACCAAUCCAGCCACGGGCCCAUCCAUCUGGCCCAUCAAGACUCACUCUCAUUUCAUCAGUCCAUAAAACCUUAGAAAAAUCAGUCUUGAGAUAUUUCUUGGCCCAGUCUUGACGUUUCAGCUUGUGUGUCUUGUUCAGUGGUGGUCGCCUUUCAGCCUUUCUUACCUUGGCCAUGUCUCUGAGUAUUGCACACCUUGUGCUUUUGGGCACUCCAGUGAUGUUGCAGCUCUGAAAUAUGGCCAAACUGGUGGCAAGUGGCAUCGUGGCAGCUGCACGCUUGACUUUUCUCAGUUCAUGGGCAGUUAUUUUGCGCCUUGGUUUUUCCACACGCUUCUUGCGACCCUGUUGACUAUUUUGAAUGAAACGCUUGAUUGUUCGAUGAUCACGCUUCAGAAGCUUUGCAAUUUUAAGAGUGCUGCAUCCCUCUGCAAGAUAUCUCACUAUUUUUGACUUUUCUGAGCCUGUCAAGUCCUUCUUUGACCCAUUUUGCCAAAGGAAAGGAAGUUGCCUAAUAAUUAUGCACACCUGAUAUAGGGUGUUGAUGUCAUUAGACCACACCCCUUCUCAUUACAGAGAUGCACAUCACCUAAUAUGCUUAAUUGGUAAUAGGCUUUCGAGCCUAUACAGCUUGGAGUAAGACAACAUGCAUAAAGAGGAUGAUGUGGUCAAAAUACUCAUUUGCCUAAUAAUUCUGCACUCCCUGUAUUUCUUUUUUUUUUUUCAUUUCAUUAUUUUUUAUUAUUUUUCGAAAAUUUAUCACAAUAGACCAGGGGUUCUCAACGUUAGUCCUCAGGACCCCCUACCACUCCAGGGUUUAGGGAUUACCUGGGUGUGUCUAAGGUGUUUAGAAAAAGAAAAAAAAAACACCUUAGAGCCCCAAAUCCUCGACUGGUAGGGGGUCCUGAGGACUGGGUUGAGAACCCCUGCAAUAGACAAUAAAUACAUUUAAAAAAAAUAAACAAAAGACAAUACAACAAUAAAUACAUUCUGACAGUUCUAGCACUCUAAGAUACCAAAUUUUUAAUUUAUUACCCUUAAUUAUCACCUUAUUUAUAAAUUAGACAACAUACCAAAUUUAGUAUCUUCACUUUGACUUGAGAGGCCCUUAAAUAGUUAUUCACUGUCUAUGAUAAACCAUGUAAACAUAAAAACAUACAAACAUAAAGUCAUACUGUGCCGAGAUCUAUAAAUCCUGACAGAUAGUGCUUUACUAAAGGAUAUUUUCCCCUUUUCUUUUCCCUUUUCUCCUACUUUCUCUUUUCUUCUCCCCUUUUUUUUUUUAUAAAAUAUACGCUAUAAAUAGCCAAAAAAGGCUUUAUAUAGAGAAGCAAAAUAUAGAAACUUUACAACCUUAUGAACAUAUCAACAGUGUUAUCUCUCUAAGAUAUAAAGUUAUUAAACCAUUUUUCUAAUCUGUCUCUAUAUUCAUUAGUUGUUUGUCAUACUAAGUUUAUCAUCUUUGAUUCUUCUCAAAACAAUUUUAAGAUAUUAUUCACUACUUGUAUUUAACAGUAAUGUCCAAUAUAUAUAUACUGUGCCAAGAUCAAAUAAUAGAUACUAUUAUUUUCCUUAUGUAGGGCUUAAUUUUUUUACCCAUUACUCCAAUUGUUCUAUUCUAGAAUUAGUAUAAUUAUCUUGUCUCAGGAUUCCAAUCUACAUUUGGCAAUGGUUCAGGACCUGAUAUUUUAUCAUAUCCCAAAAGGGGGAAUCAGAUAAUUUCCAAUAUCUCGCUAAUGUUGCUUUAGUCUCCGUUAAGAUGUGAAUCACUAUAUCUUUUUUGCUUCUUGAAAUUCUAGGCCAACCCAGAUGUAGUACAAAAGACUUACACCUACAAAAGUAAAGUCAAGAUCUACUUUUAUCACCUCUUGACAAAAUUUUGCUACUUUAUUCCAUAGAUGACUUAGGUUUGGGCAAGACCACCAGAUAUGGACAUAGUCUGCUCUAGAUGAGCCACAUCUCCAACACUUAUAUUGAGAGGAUGGGUAAAUUUUUGCCAAUUUAGUGGGGACAUAGUGCCAUCUAUUAAUGAUCUUAUAUUGACUUUCAGUUGAAUUUAAACAAUGAAUAGCCUUAGUUACUGCAUUAUUUGCAUUUAUCCACUCAUUUCUUGUGAUAGUAAUCUGUAGGCCUUUUUCCCAUGAAACAAGGGCUGGGAAUAUUGGGCUUGAUUUAUAUAAUUUAUAUAAUUUAGCACAAUGUGAUACUAAAUUUGUAUUACUUUUAGAAUUAGAUUCAUGAAUAGAUGUAAUCCUUCAGAUGAUUCUAUGACCCUAUGUUUGUGUAAAAAGUGCUUUAUCCUUAAAUAUGCAAAAUUCUCUCUAUAGGGAAGAGAAAAUAGCUGCCUAAUCUCCUCAAAAGACAUAAUUAGAUUUUGUUGCAUUAUUUGAUCUAUAUUAUUAAUACCAUUAGACGUCCAGGUUUUUAUAUUUAAAUCUUCUAUAUUGGCUGUCAAAAUGUUCAAAGGUAUAUCCGUAAUAAUUUUAUUCAGUAUCUUAAGUCUCUUUUUCCAAUUUUUCCACUGCAAUAAUAAAUUAUCCAUAAUUAGGCCUAUGUUUAUGUUAUAUCUCUUUUGUAGGCUCCAAAAUAUAGCUAAUAAGUCUGGAGAUCCCAGUCUUUUAGCUUCUAUUUUUGCCCAGGCUUCCUCUGCAGAGCUCUCCUUUAACGAUAUAAUUAAAUGAGCCAAUGCGCAUGUCUCAUAUGUCUCUAGAAUGUCUGGGACACCCAACCCACCCUUUUUUGAAUUCAUAUUUAAUAUUUUUUUAUUCACCCUUGGUUUUUUUUCAGCCAUAUAAACUUUUCAAAAGCUGUCUGUAUCAUUAUAAGACAUGGUUUUGGAAUUUUAAGAGGUAUCAUGCGGAAUAUAUAGCUCCAUUUGGGUGUUACGGAUGAUUUUACAACAUUUAUUCUCCCAAUCCAUGAUAUCUCUGCAGUUCUUAAGUCUUUAAGUUGUUUGUUUAUUUGUUUCAUCAUAGGGAGAAUAUUGUUCUCUAUGAUUUUAUUUGGGUUACUUGUUAUUUUAAUACCUAGAUAUUGCAAAUAUUUCUUAGCCCAAGCGAAGUCGUAUUUAUUUACAAUCUUCCCUCUAUCUUCCUUACUUAAAUUUUUUGCUAAUGUAGUUGUUUUAUAUACAUUCAAUUUGAGAUUGGAGUAAUUUCCAAAUUCGGUUAUAACUUUCAUCAAUUCAUUCAAUGAUGAUACGGGAUCUGUAAUGGAGAUUAGGACAUCGUCCGGAUAUAGUGAUAAUUUGUAGUCUUCUUGACCUAUUCUGACUCCUUUAAUCUCUAGGUUUUCCCUAAUUUUGAACUGUAUAUAUUUCAAUACUUUUUUGCAUUGAUUCAGGUGUUUGGUACGUGUCAUUUAAUUUGUUGGUUUUAGAGUGUACAUUUUUGUUUUCUUCAUUGUGUAUUUUGCAUUUAUUUUCUGUUUUUCCUUUUUUCAUGCUUUGAGUUGUACUGACUAUUUUGUGAUUUGUUAUGUACUACUUUGUCAGUUGACCUAAUGUCUGGUGAGUAAAAUUGGAUAUUGUCUAGAAAUAUUUUUUUCUGAUUUGUUUCAUUUCUAAUGAGUAUGUACUGAAUACAUGUAACACACUGUAUUCGAUUGUUCCAUUGGGUGUGCUCCUUUGGGAUCUAUUGGGGGUUUAUGUUUAGACUCUAGGGGAAUUAAGUGAGCAUUUGUCAUAUAUUUUAUUACCAUAUUUAUUGGUUAGAAUUCAUUUCACUAGAGUAAUUUUACUGUCUAAUUGUUGUUGUUUUCACGUGAGCAGAGAUUUCUCCAUGCUCACACCAAAAUGAUAGGAUGUUUCAUGUCAUCCUAAAACCAUUAACACUCUGGGGACAAUGGCGUAACGAAUCCCAAUGUCAUUAAUGGGUUAAGUAUGGCUUGCAAUAUUGAUUUUUACGGUUUGUUUUUAGUAUCUGAUUUGGUACCAAAAUGUACUAAUUGAUACUCUAAAACAUAUUUUUCAGCUUCGAUGAACAAAGGACCAAGCAACCUCACAGUGAUCAUGCUUACAGCUGACUCUGUUUUGUUAAAAUGGGAAGGCUUUAACCUUUGUCAGUGUCAAGGACUUCUAAAGACCUGGGUUGUAAUCACCACAAA